CGAACUUAGCGAUAGCUGGUUUCUCAAUAAAAGAAUUUUAGUCCAACCUAAAGCAAUAAAUAUAUACACAAAAUUUACCUCACUUUAGAGCAAUUCAAAUAAGGUACAGCCUAUUUGAUACAGGACCCAACCUUAAUUAAUGGGUAACACUAAAUUUACAUCCACAAGUAGGCCUAAAAGCAGCCACCUUUUUAAAAGCGUCACAGCUUAAUCAUGUAUAUUAUAAUACCAUAAUUACACUCGACCCCUUUAAUUGUACUGAGAACUUCUAUAAAACUAUAGAACUUUUUAUGCUAAAACUAGUAACAAGAGGUAAAACCUCUCUAUAAUGCAAGUAUAAGCCAGCAAGAAUCCAUCACUGUCAACUAACAGACCUAAAAGAAAGUAGCAACCCUCCCAGAAAACCCUACUUACCUUAACUGUUAAUCUAAUACUAGAGCAUUUCAAGAAAGAUUAAAAGAAAGAGAAGGAACUCGGCAAAUAUUAACCCCGCCUGUUUACCAAAAACAUCGCCUCUUGCUAUUAUUAUAAGAGGUCUAGCCUGCCCAGUGACUUCUGUUCAACGGCCGCGGUAUCCUAACCGUGCGAAGGUAGCGUAAUCACUUGUCUUCUAAAUAGAGACCAGUAUGAAAGGCAUCACGAGGGUUAAACUGUCUCCUCCCCCUAAUCAGUGAACCUAAUCCCCCCGUGAAGAAGCGGGGAUUUUUUUAUAAGACGAGAAGACCCUAUGGAGCUUAAAACAUCACACACCUGCUGCUAUUUUUUAUUUACCCAGGUAUUUUCCCCCCCCCCCCGGCAGGCUGAUUAAGUGUUUUUGGUUGGGGUGACCGUGGAGAAAAAUUUAUCCUCCACAAUGAAAGGAAUUACUCCUAAACAGUAAGCUACAACUUUAUGUAUCAGCAAACUGACAUCCAUUGACCCAAUAUAUUGAUUAACGAACCAAGUUACCCUAGGGAUAACAGCGCAAUCCACUUUGAGAGCCCCUAUCGACAAGUGGGCUUACGACCUCGAUGUUGGAUCGGGGUAUCCUAGUGGUGCAGCCGCUACUAAAGGUUCGUUUGUUCAACGAUUAAAACCCCACGUGAUCUGAGUUCAGACCGGAGCAAUCCAGGUCAGUUUCUAUCUAUAACAGAGCUUUUUUUAGUACGAAAGGACCAAAACAGCAUGGCCAAUAUAUAAACAAGCCGUAGUUAAUUAUUUUUGACUUACCUCAAAAAAUUACUAACCUAACCCUCACCUCAAGAAAAGAGUAGUA
rnacentral:rRNA from 1 species